UGGGGAAGUCUUGUCCAAUGGGCGGAGACCUGACGCAGCAACGCCGCGUGCGGGACGAAGGCCUUCGGUUGUAAACCGCUUCAGCAGGGACGCGGUACCUGCAGAAGAAGCCCCGGCCAACUACGUGCCAGCAGCCGCGGUAACACGUAGGGGCGAGCGUUGUCCGGAUUUAUUGGGCGUAAAGAGCUCGUAGGCGGUUCGGUAAGUCGGGUGUGAAACCUCCAGGCUCAACCUGGAGACGCCACCCGAUACUGCUGGACUUGAGUCCGGUAGGGGAGCACGGAAUUCCUGGUGUAGCGGUGAAAUGCGCAGAUAUCAGGAGGAACACCGGCGGCGAAGGCGGUGCUCUGGGCCGGAACUGACGCUGAGGAGCGAAAGCGUGGGUAGC
rnacentral:rRNA from 1 species